rnacentral:rRNA from 1 species
UACGGAGGGUGCAAGCGUUAUCCAGAAUCACUGGGCGUAAAGGGCGCGUAGGUGGUCUGUUAAGUCUGGCGUUAAAGCCUGGGGCUCAACCCCAGAUCAGCGUUGGAUACUGGCAGGCUAGACGGUUGGAGAGGCGAGUGGAAUUACCAGUGUAGCGGUGGAAUGCGUAGAUACUGGUAGGAACACCCAUUGCGAAGGCAGCUCGCUGGACAACACGUGACACUGAGGCGCGAAAGUGUGGGGAGCAAACCGGAUUAGAUACCCCCGUA